rnacentral:lncRNA from 1 species
UCCAACAGAGAAGAAAAUGGCAAACCACUCCAGUAUGUUUUCCAAAAAACCUGAUGGACAGUAUUAAAAUGGAUGAUGGACAAGAAGAAACAGUUGGGACAAAACAGAUCAUUUUACAGAGGUGGAAACUGAGGCAAAGAGGAUUAAGUGAUUUGUCCAGGAUUACAUAGCUAGUGUCUCAGAUGAGAUUUGAACUUACGCAGGUGUGGAAGGUGGUCUCAUCUCCAACCUCCAAUGCAAUCUGAAGUCUGCAGAGGAAUAACCAGAGGUGCAGAGGAAUAACCAGAGGUCCUAAACUAAGGUGGAGCUGAAAUUCUGUCACUUCAAAUCUUCAGCACUUUCCAGGUGAAUUUAUAAUAAUUUCUGAAUAAAGUUACAAUAGUGGCUAAA